rnacentral:tRNA from 1 species
CGAGAAAGUAAUGCAAGAACUGCUAAUUCAUGCCACCACGCUUAAUAACGUGGCUUUCUU